AGCAGUCGCCGCGGUAAUACGAAGGGUGCAAGCGUUAAUCGGAAUUACUGGGCGUAAAGCGUGCGUAGGCGGUGAGUUAAGUCUGCUGUGAAAUCCCCGGGCUCAACCUGGGAAUGGCAGUGGAUACUGGCUCGCUAGAGUGUGUCAGAGGAUGGUGGAAUUCCCGGUGUAGCGGUGAAAUGCGUAGAGAUCGGGAGGAACAUCAGUGGCGAAGGCGGCCAUCUGGGACAACACUGACGCUGAGGCACGAAAGCGUGGGGAGCAAACAGGAUUAGAUACCCCAGUAGUCCCUGUCUCUUAUAC
rnacentral:rRNA from 1 species